GAGUUUGAUCGUGGCUCAGGACGAACGCUGGCGGCGUGCCUAAUACAUGCAAGUCGAGCGAGGGUUUUUAAGACCCUAGCGGCGGACGGGUGAGUAACACGUAGGCAACCUGCCUCUCAGACCGGGAUAACAUAGGGAAACUUAUGCUAAUACCGGAUAGGUUUUUGGAUCGCAUGAUCCGAAAAGAAAGAUGGCUUUUCGCUAUCACUGGGAGAUGGGCCUGCGGCGCAUUAGCUAGUUGGUGGGGUAACGGCCUACCAAGGCGACGAUGCGUAGCCGACCUGAGAGGGUGACCGGCCACACUGGGACUGAGACACGGCCCAGACCCCUACGGGAGGCAGCAGUAGGGAAUUUUCCACAAUGGACGAAAGUCUGAUGGAGCAACG
rnacentral:rRNA from 1 species